rnacentral:rRNA from 1 species
CCCUUAGAUGUUCUGGGCCGCACGCGCGUUACACUGAUGCAUUCAACGAGCUUAUAACCUUGGCCGAGAGGCCUGGGCAAUCUUGUUAACGUGCAUCGUGAUAGGGAUAGAUUAUUGAAAUUAUUAAUCUUGAACGAGGAAUUCCCAGUAAACGCAGAUCAUCAAUCUGCAUUGAUUACGUCCCUGCCCUUUGUACACACCGCCCGUCGCACCUACCGAUUGGAUGGUCCGGUGAAGCCUCGGGAUUGUGGUUCUUGCCGCUUUAUUGUGGCGUGACCGCGAGAACUUGUCUAAACCUUAUCAUCUAGAGGAAGGUGAAGUCGUAACA